rnacentral:lncRNA from 1 species
GGAGUAGUUUAAGGAAUGAGGAGGACCGUGUGGAUGGUGGUGGCUUACGCUUUUACUUUCCGCACUUGGUAGGCCGAGGCAGAUCUCUGAAUUCAAGGCCAGCCUAUUCUACAAAGUGAGUUCCAGGACACCCAGGGAUACACAGACAAACCUUGUCUCUCUUUUUUAAAAAAAAGAAAGGAAAGGAAGGAAAAGGAAAAAAAAAAGUGAGCCCAGAUAAUCUUUAUGGGGCUGGAGAAGAUGGCUCUAUGGUUAAGAGCACUAUCUGCUCUUUCAGAGGUCCUGAGAAUUGAUUCCCAGCAACCACAUGGUGGCUCACAACCACCUAUAAUAGGAUCUGAUGCCCUCUUCUGUCUUGUAGGCAUACAUAAAUAAAUACAUCUUAAAAGGAAUUAAAGGGUUCCUACCUCUCUCUCUCUCUUUCCUCUUCUUCUUUCUCCUUUCCUUUUCUCCUUCCCUCCCACUUUCUCCAGCCCCUUCAAACCCUCUCUAGCUCUCUCCUUUCUGUUUUUCCUCUCCCCCAAAUAUGCAGAAAUUAACCCUGUCAGAUAGGAAUUAAGUAUUUUUAGCCAUUUCCCACUGUCCAAAAAACAAAAAAGCAAACAAACAAAAAACCCUAAAUUCAAGAACUAGAAAGAUGGCUGAGCAGUCAAAAGUACAGACUGAAUUUAAUUUCAAUGGUAUUAAAUGCCCUCUUCAGAUGAAGUGCACAAACAUAUUGUACAGACAUAUAAGUAGGCAAAACACCUGAACACAUAAAAUUAAAAACACAAAACAAAAAUGAAUCAUACAAAAAA